ACUGCUCAGUAACACGUAGUCAACAUGCCCAGGGACGUGGAUAACCUCGGGAAACUGAGGAUAAACCGCGAUAGGUCAUCACUUCUGGAAUGGGUAAUGACUUAAAUCUAUAUGGCCCCUGGAUUGGACUGCGGCCGAUCAGGCUGUUGGUGAGGUAAUGGCCCACCAAACCUGUAACCGGUACGGGCUCUGAGAGGAGGAGCCCGGAGAUGGGCACUGAGACAAGGGCCCAGGCCCUAUGGGGCGCAGCAGGCGCGAAACCUCUGCAAUAGGCGAAAGCUUGACAGGGUUACUCUGAGUGAUUUCCGUUAAGGAGAUCUUUUGGCACCUCUAAAAAUGGUGCAGAAUAAGGGGUGGGCAAGUCUGGUGUCAGCCGCCGCGGUAAUACCAGCACCCCGAGUGGUCGGGACGUUUAUUGGGCCUAAAGCAUCCGUAGCCGGUUCUACAAGUCUUCCGUUAAAUCCACCUGCUUAACAGAUGGGCUGCGGAAGAUACUAUAGAGCUAGGAGGCGGGAGAGGCAAGCGGUACUCGAUGGGUAGGGGUAAAAUCCGUUGAUCCAUUGAAGACCACCAGUGGCGAAGGCGGCUUGCCAGAACGCGCUCGACGGUGAGGGAUGAAAGCUGGGGGAGCAAACCGGAUUAGAUACCCGGGUAGUCCCAGCUGUAAACGAUGCAGACUCGGUGAUGAGUUGGCUUAUUGCUAACUCAGUGCCGCAGGGAAGCCGUUAAGUUUGCCGCCUGGGGAGUACGGUCGCAAGACUGAAACUUAAAGGAAUUGGCGGGGGAGCA
rnacentral:rRNA from 1 species